GUGAUUACAUUCAACGGCCGCGGUAUCCUAACCGUGCAAAGGUAGCGCAAUCACUUGUCCCCUAAAUAGUGACUAGUAUGAAUGGCCACACGAGAAUAAACCUGUCUCUUUUAACAAAUCAGUGAAACUGAUCUUCCAGUACAAAAGCUGGAAUAUUAACAUAAGACGAAAAGACCCUGUGGAGCUUAAAUACCACCCUACCUUCCCUAGCCCAAGUAUUUCAGUUGGGGCAACUUCGGAAUCAAACCAAACUUCCGAGCAUGUUCCGGAAACACCGUUACCAAGACCCACACGUCAAAAUCUGAACUAGACCCAGUACUACUGAUUAACGAACCAAGUUACCCCAGGGAUAACAGCGCCAUCUUCUUCUAGAGCCCCCAUCGACAAGAAGGUUUACGACCUCGAUGUUGGAUCAGGACACCCAAAUAGCGCAGCCGCUAUUAAAGGUUCGUUUGUUCAACGAUUAAAGCCCUA
rnacentral:rRNA from 1 species